GACGAACGCUGGCGGCGUGCCUAAUACAUGCAAGUUGAGCGCUGAAGGUUGGUACUUGUACCAACUGUAUGAGCAGCGAACGGGUGAGUAACGCGUGGGUAAUCUGCCUUUGAGCGGGGGACAACAUUUGGAAACGAAUGCUAAUACCGCAUAAAAACUUUAAACACAAGUUUUAAGUUUGAAAGAUGCAAUUGCAUCACUCAAAGAUGAUCCCGCGUUUUAUUAGCUAGUUGGUGAGGUAAAGGCUCACCAAGGCGAUGAUACAUAGCCGACCUGAGAGGGUGAACGGCCACAUUGGGACUGAGACACGGCCCAAACUCCUAAGGGAGGCAGCAGUAGGGAAUCUUCGGCAAUGGACGAAAGUCUGAACGAGCAACGCCGCGUGAGUGAAGAAGGUUUUCGGAUCGUAAAACUCUGUUGGUAGAGAAGAACGUUGGUGAGAGUGGAAAGCGCAUCAAGUGACGGUAACUACUCAGAAAGGGACGGCUAACUACGUG
rnacentral:rRNA from 1 species